rnacentral:lncRNA from 1 species
CGUUAGUUUAAAAUUUUAAUUUUAAUAAUAUUUUUGAAUUUAAAUUUAAAAUUUUGAAUUUUUAUUUUUAGAGACUAAAAUAAAAAUUGUGCAAAGUUUAGGGACCUAAAUUGACAUGGAAAAGAUUGUCAAAUAGAUGCUGACGUGGUAAUUUUGUUAAUUUUAACAGUUUUUUUAACGGUUGGAAUGUAAUUGUAAUAAAACCAAGCGGUUAGAGACUCAAUUACAAAAAAAAAAGUUGGAGACCCAAGUGAAAAUUAGUAAGUAGGUUGGGGACUACGGUGUAAUUAACCUUUUUUUUUUUUUUAAAGUACACAGUAUUAAGUAAAAAAUUAAUUUAUUUUUAUU